GAACGCACCUUGCACCCUCUGGUAUUCCGGAGGGUAUGCCUGUUUGAGUGUCAUUAACAUCUCAACGCUUGAUGGGUUCUUGUAACCCGUUCGGUGGUUGGACUUGAAGGUUGCCGGUGUCAAAGCCAGCUCCUUUUAAAUGCAUGAGCAAGGACUAUUCCGAAUCGGCUUCGGUUUGAUAAAUUUGAAUUAUCUGAUGCCGUCGCUGAGGAACUAUGGUCGACCUGCUUCUAAUGGUCUUCGGACUGUCUCCUUGUGAGGCAACUACAUUGACUCUUGACCUCAAAUCAGGUAGGACUACCCGCUGAACUUAAG
rnacentral:misc_RNA from 1 species